CCAGAAAAUAACUCUGAAUCAGA
rnacentral:snRNA from 1 species